UAGGGAAUCUUCGGCAAUGGACGAAAGUCUGACCGAGCAACGCCGCGUGAGUGAAGAAGGUUUUCGGAUCGUAAAACUCUGUUGCUAGAGAAGAACAAGGACGUUAGUAACUGAACGUCCCCUGACGGUAUCUAACCAGAAAGCCACGGCUAACUACGUGCCAGCAGCCGCGGUAAUACGUAGGUGGCAAGCGUUGUCCGGAUUUAUUGGGCGUAAAGCGAGCGCAGGCGGUUUCUUAAGUCUGAUGUGAAAGCCCCCGGCUCAACCGGGGAGGGUCAUUGGAAACUGGGAGACUUGAGUGCAGAAGAGGAGAGUGGAAGUCCAUGUGUAGCGGUGAAAUGCGUAGAUAUAUGGAGGAACACCAGUGGCGAAGGCGGCUCUCUGGUCUGUAACUGACGAUGAGGCUCGAAAGCGUGGGGAGCAAACAGG
rnacentral:rRNA from 1 species